rnacentral:tRNA from 1 species
GCGGGCGUGGCGGAAUGGCAGACGCUGCGGACUUAAACUCCGUUGGGGAGACCCGUGCGGGUUCGACUCCCGCCGCCCGCA